rnacentral:rRNA from 1 species
UACGUAGGUGGCGAGCGUUGUCCGGAUUUACUGGGCGUAAAGGGAGUGUAGGUGGAUGCUUAAGUCAGAUGUGAAAUACGCGGGCUCAACCUGGGAACUGCAUUUGAAACUGGGCGUCUAGAGUGCAGGAGAGGAAAGCGGAAUUCCUAGUGUAGCGGUGAAAUGCGUAGAGAUUAGGAAGAACACCAGUGGCGAAGGCGCUUCUGGACGUGCUGACAUGACA